rnacentral:sRNA from 1 species
GAUCAGCCGGCGGGGCCGGUUUGUCGAGCCGUUUAAGGGUUUCGUCGCAUUUGCGCAAGACUUAAUUGCGUGCGCCGGAACGGCAAG